rnacentral:rRNA from 1 species
UACGUAGGGGGCUAGCGUUGUCCGGAAUCAUUGGGCGUAAAGCGCGUGUAGGCGGCCCGAUAAGUCCGCUGUGAAAGUCCAGGGCUCAACCCUGGGAUGCCGGUGGAUACUGUCGGGCUCGAGUCCGGAAGAGGCGAGUGGAAUUCCGUGGUGUAGCGGUGAAUGACGCAGAGUAUCAGGAAGAACACCCGUGGCUAAGGCGGCUCUCUAGUACGGUACUGACGCUGAGACGCGAAGCGUGGGAGCGAACAGGAUAG